UACGGAGGGUGCAAGCGUUAAUCGGAAUUACUGGGCGUAAAGUGUGUGCAGGCGGCGCCGCAAGUCGAGUGUGAAAGCCCCGGGCUUAACCUGGGAAUUGCGCUCGAAACUACGGUGCUCGAGUGUGGCAGAGGAAGGUGGAAUUCCACGUGUAGCGGUGAAAUGCGUAGAUAUGUGGAGGAACACCGAUGGCGAAGGCAGCCUUCUGGGCCAACACUGACGCUCAUGCACGAAAGCGUGGGGAGCAAACAGG
rnacentral:misc_RNA from 1 species